UACAGAGGUGCCCAAGCGUUGUUCGGAUUCACUGGGCGUAAAGGGUGCGUAGGCGGUCGGGUAAGUCUGACGUGAAAUCUUCAAGCUUAACUUGGAAACUGCGUCGGAUACUAUUCGGCUAGAGGAAUGGAGGGGAGACUGGAAUACUUGGUGUGAGCAGUGAAAUGCGUAGAUAUCAAGUGGAACACCAGUGGCGGAAGGCGAGUCUCUGGACAUUUCCUGACGCUGAGGCACGAAAGCCAGGGGAGCAAACGGG
rnacentral:rRNA from 1 species